rnacentral:rRNA from 1 species
AUUGAACGCUGGCGGCAGGCCUAACACAUGCAAGUCGAACGCGUGGCGGACGGGUGAGUAGUGUCUGGGACACUGCCCUAUGGAGGGGGAACACUUCUGGAAACUGUAGAUAAUACCGCAAACCCACGUAAGUGCCCAGAUGGGAUUAGCGAGUAGGUGGGGUAACGGCUCACCUGGGCGACGAUCCCUAGCUGGUCUGAGAGUAUGACCAGCCACACUGGAACUGCGACACGGUCCAGACUCCUACGGGAGGCAGCAGUGGGGAAUAUUGCACAAUGGGCGCAAGCCUGAUGCAGCCAUGCCGCGUGUAUGAAGAAGGCCUUCGGGUUGUAAAGUACUUUCAGCGGGGAGGCGUUACUCGCAGAAGAAGCACCGGCUAACUCCGUGCCAGCAGCCGCGGUAAUUC